rnacentral:lncRNA from 1 species
AAGGAACGUGAUCAAAAUGAUACUUGAGCGGAAAAUGGAAUGGCUGCCAAGUGGGGGUCCUGACAAGGUUUUGACAUAGUUUGGACACUUAGCCCCCUAAAAAAUUUAGGUCCUUAGAGGUUGAAUUGAUGUUUGAGCCUUGAAGAAAAGAUUUACAGGGACUCCUUAGGAACAAUAUUCUCAAAGAAACUUAUCAAUUGGUUUAAAAUUGAAGAAGUUAUAGGCUUUGGACCAAAAGUGAGUCAUAC